rnacentral:rRNA from 1 species
GACGAACGCUGGCGGCGUGCUUAACACAUGCAAGUCGAACGGAAAGGCCCUGCUUUUGUGGGGUGCUCGAGUGGCGAACGGGUGAGUAACACGUGAGUAACCUGCCCUUGACUUUGGGAUAACUUCAGGAAACUGGGGCUAAUACCGGAUAGGAGCUCCUGCUGCAUGGUGGGGGUUGGAAAGUUUCGGCGGUUGGGGAUGGACGCGCGGCUUAUCAGCGUGUUGGUGGGGAAGUGGCUUACCAAGGCUUUGACGGGUAGCCGGCCUGAGAGGGUGACCGGCCACAUGGGGACUGAGAUACGGCCCAGACUCCUACGGGAGGCAGCAGGGGGGAAUAGUGCACAAUGGGCGGAAGCCUGAUGCAGCAACGCCGCGUGCGGGAUGACGGCCUUCGGUGUGUAAACCGCUUUCGCCUGUGACGAAGCGUGAGUGACGGUAAUGGGUAAAGAAGCACCGGCUAACUACGUG